UACAGAGGGGGCAAGCGUUGUUCGGAAUUACUGGGCGUAAAGGGCGCGUAGGCGGCCUGCUAAGUCGAACGUGAAAUCCCCGGGCUCAACCCGGGAACUGCGUCCGAUACUGGCAGGCUUGAAUUCGGGAGAGGGAUGCGGAAUUCCAGGUGUAGCGGUGAAAUGCGUAGAUAUCUGGAGGAACACCGGUGGCGAAGGCGGCAUCCUGGACCGGUAUUGACGCUGAGGCGCGAAAGCCAGGGGAGCAAACGGG
rnacentral:rRNA from 1 species